rnacentral:lncRNA from 1 species
GCGCCUCCGCUGAACUCCAAAACUCCGCUCCGCCGAGCUUCUUCCGCUAGGCACCGUCGCUGGUCACCACCGCCAGCAGACCAAUGCACUCCGCUAGCAAGCUCCAAACGUGCCAGCAAACCUCGCUGGCCAUCCUCCUGCUAGCUCCGCCGCUAGCCAUCCAUCAGCGGCACUGCAAGCGCCAACCACCGGCGACAAAGGCUCCGCCGGCCAGGAACUCCGCCACCCAAGAGCUCCGCUCCGCUGGACAAGGACUCCGUCGGCCAAAAGUUCCGCCAUCCAAGUCUCCACCGGACUAGAGACCGCUAGCAGAGUAUCGCCAGCAACAGCCGCUCCGCCGGACAACCCGCUAGCCAACUCCGCCGAGCUCCAAGUCUGCCAUAGCAAGUACCCGCCAACCUCCAGGUACGACUCCGCCACUACCAGGCUGUUGCACCAACGUCAGUGGGUAGCUCCAGCAGCGCUGCCACUAGCGGCAGACGCAAUCGACGGACACCCAGUCCAAGAAUUGAUUUGGACACCCAUGACAGCUUCCAUCUGCUUCUUCGAUCAGCGUCAAGAAGAGCGAAGCUCAGUCAUUACCCGUGAAGCUUUGAUCAAGCAUCAACUGAACAACCCAUCAAUCAACCUCCAGCUAGGUACCACCGCUAACGAAAUCUUAACGGAGCAUCAAGGUCACCGCUGAUGUCCCAGGCUCCGCCGGACAAGUACCGCUGAUCCGCUGACCCGCCCAAAGGCUCCGCCCCGC